rnacentral:rRNA from 1 species
GGUUAAGCGACUAAGCGUACACGGUGGAUGCCCUGGCAGUCAGAGGCGAUGAAGGACGUGCUAAUCUGCGAUAAGCGCCGGUAAGGUGAUAUGAACCGUUAUAACCGGCGAUUUCCGAAUGGGGAAACCCAGUGUGAUUCGUCACACUAUCAUUAACUGAAUCCAUAGGUUAAUGAGGCGAACCGGGGGAACUGAAACAUCUAAGUACCCCGAGGAAAAGAAAUCAACCGAGAUUCCCCCAGUAGCGGCGAGCGAACGGGGAGGAGCCCAGAGCCUGAAUCAGCAUGUGUGUUAGUGGAAGCGUCUGGAAAGGCGCGCGAUACAGGGUGACAGCCCCGUACACAAAAGCGCAUGUGCUGUGAGCUCGAUGAGUAGGGCGGGACACGUGGUAUCCUGUCUGAAUAUGGGGGGACCAUCCUCCAAGGCUAAAUACUCCUGACUGACCGAUAGUGAACCAGUACCGUGAGGGAAAGGCGAAAAGAACCCCGGCGAGGGGAGUGAAAAAGAACCUGAAACCGUGUACGUACAAGCAGUGGGAGCCCCACCACUAAGCCAGUGGUGAACUCCACAUACGCAUCCUUUGCUGAGGAUACGGUUAACGGAGCGAAAGCGACGUUCAACCGCAAAAGAAGCAGAGGGGGCUUAGUGGUGGGGUGACUGCGUACCUUUUGUAUAAUGGGUCAGCGACUUAUAUUCUGUAGCAAGGUUAACCGUAUAGGGGAGCCG